GUGGAGCUAUAGCUCAGUGGUAGAGCGCUUGCUUUGCAUGUUUGAGGCACUGGGUUUGAUCCUCAAUACCACA
rnacentral:tRNA from 1 species